rnacentral:rRNA from 1 species
GUCCUAGCCCUAAACGGUGCACGUUUGCUGUAAGAGGAAUCGACCCCUUUUGUGGCGAAGCUAACGCGUUAAACGUGCCGCCUGGGAAGUACGGCCGCAAGGUUAAACUCAAAGAAAUUGACGGGGGCCUGCACAAGCGGUGGAGUAUGUGGCUUAAUUCGAUGCAACGCGAAGAACCUUACCUGGCCUUGACAUGCAAGUAGUAGAACCGUGAAAGCGGGACGAGGUAGCAAUACCAGCUUGCACAGGUGCUGCAUGGCUGUCGU